AACGAACGCUGGCGGCAUGCCUAACACAUGCAAGUCGAACGAGACCUUCGGGUCUAGUGGCGCACGGGUGCGUAACGCGUGGGAACCUGCCCUUAGGUUCGGAAUAACUCCCCGAAAGGGGUGCUAAUACCGGAUAAUGUCUUCGGACCAAAGAUUUAUCGCCUUUGGAUGGGCCCGCGUUGGAUUAGCUAGUUGGUAGGGUAAAAGCCUACCAAGGCGACGAUCCAUAGCUGGUCUGAGAGGAUGAUCAGCCACACUGGGACUGAGACACGGCCCAGACUCCUACGGGAGGCAGCAGUGGGGAAUAUUGGAACAUGGGCGAAAGGCUGAUCCAGCAAUGCCGCGUGAGUGAUGAAGGCCUUAGGGUUGUAAAGCUCUUUUAACCGGGAUGAUAAUGACAGUACCGGGAGAAUAAGCUCCGGCUAACUCCGUG
rnacentral:rRNA from 1 species